UACGUAGGGUGCGAGCGUUGUCCGGAAUUAUUGGGCGUAAAGGGCUCGUAGGCGGUUUGUCACGUCGGGAGUGAAAAACUCGGGGGCUCAACCCCCGAGCCUGCUUCCGAUACGGGCAGACUGGAGGUAUGCAGGGGGAGAACGGAAUUCCUGGUGUAGCGGUGAAAUGCGCAGAUAUCAGGAGGAACACCGGUGGCGAAGGCGGUUCUCUGGGCAUUACCUGACGCUGAGGAGCGAAAGUGUGGGGAGCGAACAGG
rnacentral:rRNA from 1 species